GGGGUUGGGGGAAGGCAUUACAUCAUCACUCUUAUUGUUAUUCACUUAUCAGAUGAUUAUUAAUUAUACUUCAGUGAAAGGCUUGCACUCAUUAUGAGCAUGAGCUCAUUAGGCUGUACAAGGCCCAGAGGAGGACAAGGACCAGCCGACAGCAGUUCUCUCUUGAGCAAGCUUGAGGCUCGGGAAGCCUGCCAUCUGGCCACCUGCCUUUCUCUGUCUGGCCAGCGGCUACUUCUCUUUUUGGGUAAGAAGGCAAUUCAGCCCAUGUAUAGUGGACAAGGCACAUCUCCCACCCUGAUAGCUGGAGUUUGCAGCUCUUCCUUUAGGUUCAUGGGCUCAAAAAAGAUCAAAGAAGAAGGAAGAGAGCAUCAUGGGAGUCCAAGGAGCAGCAGUAGGUAGAGUCUUCUGAAGAAACAAACUCUUGGACACAGUGAAGCUCUUUGCCUAGAAUUCAAGCCACCGGUCUGGUAUCCUUUGUUACGAAUGUUGGGAUCAGUAAGCAGGCACUUCUACGGCCAGCCCCAAGGGACCUGACAAACCGGUUAUCAGGCAUCUGUGAAGACACCCUGACCACCUGGAAUUACCUGCUCAUGCCCUGGGUCACCCUAUAAGAACUCCUGGUGCCCCCUCCCCCCCUCUUACUCUCUUACUCUCCUCUCUUUCUCUCCUCUUACUCUCUUCUUCUCUUUCUCUCCUCCUCUCUCUCUUUCUCUCUUUUUCUCUCUCUCUCUGCAACCCCCCUUCCCCUAAUAAACCUCCCACGUGGAACCGA